UUGAAAAAACUCUCAUCAUAUCAGGACUGUUUUACUAGCUGUUAGACCACCAUUGUACUGGCUACUAUAACAUUUCUUGGUAUUCUUUCUUGACUUGAACUAAUUAUUUCCUACUUGCCACACUAAAGUCCCCAAAAAGACCAUGAAGGCCUGAGAGUAAUGAAAAUCUUCCUGAAAUUGAGGUCACUGUGGAAGAUGGGACCAUCUAGUUGCAGAAAAACAAGCUCAGGACUC